CACGUAGGGGGCGAGCGUUGUCCGGAUUCAUUGGGCGUAAGGGGUGCGUAGGCGGGUCUUUAAGUCAGGGGUGAAAUCCUGGAGCUCAACUCCAGAACUGCCUUUGAUACUGAAGAUCUUGAGUUCGGGAGAGGUGAGUGGAACUGCGAGUGUAGAGGUGAAAUUCGUAGAUAUUCGCAAGAACACCAGUGGCGAAGGCGGCUCACUGGCCCGAUACUGACGCUGAGGCACGAAAGCGUGGGGAGCAAACAGGG
rnacentral:rRNA from 1 species